CAGGUAGCCUAGUGGUUAGAGUGUAGAGGAGGCAGGUAGCCUAGUGGUUAGAGUGUAGAGGAGGCAGGUAGCCUAGUGGUUAGAGUGUAGAGGAGGCAGGUAGCCUAGUGGUUAGAGUGUAGAGGAGGCAGGUAGCCUAGUGGUUAGAGGGUAGAGGAGGCAGGUAGCCUAGUGGUUAGAGUGUAGAGG